rnacentral:tRNA from 1 species
GCGAGAGUGGCGGAAUUGGUAGACGCGCUGGACUUAGGAUCCAGUCCGUUUUCGGGUGGGGGUUCGAGUCCCCCCUCUCGCACCA